AGCGUUGUCCGGNUUAUUGGGCGUAAAGACGAGCGCAGGCGGUUUUUUAAGUCUGAUGUGAAAGCCUUCGGCUCAACCGAAGAAGUGCAUCGGAAACUGGGAAACUUGAGUGCAGAAGAGGACAGUGGAACUCCAUGUGUAGCGGUGAAAUGCGUAGAUAUAUGGAAGAACACCAGUGGCGAAGGCGGCUGUCUGGUCUGUAACUGACGCUGAGGCUCGAAAGUAUGGGUAGCAAACAGGAUUAGAUACCCUGGUAGUCCAUACCGUAAACGAUGAAUGCUAAGUGUUGGAGGGUUUCCGCCCUUCAGUGCUGCAGCUAACGCAUUAAGCAUUCCGCCUGGGGAGUACGGCCGCAAGGCUGAAACUCAAAGGAAUUGACGGGGGCCCGCACAAGCGGUGGAGCAUGUGGUUUAAUUCGAAGCUACGCGAAGAACCUUACCAGGUCUUGACAUACUAUGCAAAUCUAAGAGAUUANACGUUCCCUUCGGGGACAUGGAUACAGGUGGUGCAUGGUUGUCGUCAGCUCGUGUCGUGAGAUGUUGGGUUAAGUCCCGCAACGAGCGCAACCCUUAUUAUCAGUUGCCAGCAUUAAGUUGGGCACUCUGGUGAGACUGCCGGUGACAAACCGGAGGAAGGUGGGGAUGACGUCAAAUCAUCAUGCCCCUUAUGACCUGGGCUACACACGUGCUACAUGGAUGGUACAAC
rnacentral:rRNA from 1 species